rnacentral:rRNA from 1 species
AUCGCGAGAUCACGCAAACCGCAUAAAACGUUGCCCAGUUCGGAUUGCAGGCUGAAAUUCGCCUGCAUGAAGCCGGAAUCGCUAGUAAUCGCGGGUCAGCAUACCGCGGUGAAUGUGUUCCUGAGCCUUGUACACACCGCCCGUCAAGCCACGAAAGUUGGGGGGGCCCGAAGUCGCGAUGCUAACCGUUUACGGAGGCUAGCGCCGAAGGUCAACUCGAUGAUUGGGAAU